rnacentral:rRNA from 1 species
UAUCMAACCCUGUGAAACAUACCUAAAACGUUGCUUCGGCGGGAACAGACGGCCCUGUAACAACGGGCCGCCCCCGCCAGAGGACCCCUAACUCUGUUUUUAUAAUGUUUUUCUGAGUAAACAAGCAAAUAAAUUAAAACUUUCAACAACGGAUCUCUUGGCUCUGGCAUCGAUGAAGAACGCAGCGAAAUGCGAUAAGUAAUGUGAAUUGCAGAAUUCAGUGAAUCAUCGAAUCUUUGAACGCACAUUGCGCCCGCCAGUAUUCUGGCGGGCAUGCCUGUUCGAGCGUCAUUACAACCCUCAGGCCCCCGGGCCUGGCGUUGGGGAUCGGCAGAAGCCCCCUGUGGGCACACGCCGUCCCUCAAAUACAGUGGCGGUCCCGCCGCAGCUUCCAUUGCGUAGUAGCUAACACCUCGCAACUGGAGAGCGGCGCGGCCAUGCCGUAAAACACCCAACUUCUGAAUGUUGACCUCGAAUCAGGUAGGAAUACCCGCUGAACUUAAGCAUAUCAAUAAGCGGAGGGASWU